UGCCUGUAAGCUCUAUUGGGUAGUAUAGUGCAGCUUUGUGAACACCAGAUCUGGCAGAUUUAAGCUGAGGCCUGUAAGUUCAUUUGCCAUUUUCUUCCACCACAAGUGGCCCCUGCUGGGCUGAUCUGUUCUUCCACUUGUUCCUCUGGCACCUGCCCAUGUGGAGGGGAUUCUUCAAUAGGGCACAUCUGUUGUAGCCUCACAGAUUCUUCUGCUGUUGGAGAGCCCUGUGUGUGGAAGAGUCCCUUUGUGUGAAAAUCAUCCAGCCUCAACCACACAGUUCAGCAAUUUUGCUGAAAGGAACAGUCUUGGCUGCACUUGGUAGGAGCCUCUCUUCUGUCUGGCACAGGCCAAGACUCUGCAGGUGAUGAAGGAAGAGGAGGUGGCAGCGCAUAGGAGUGCAUUAAUAUCAGUUCACCUUGUCAGUAUAGCUACAGUGGCUAGACCAUGAGCUCUGGAGUUGGACAGCCUAGAUCAACAUCCUGGAUCCUCUUCCUACCUGUGUGUCCUUGGAAACAUUUCUCAAGUGUCUACAUGUUCUAGAAGGGGAAUUUUUCGGAGGUGGCCACUUCUUCGGAAUAGUCCGAUGCCAUCAGGCGUCUGAAGCAAGGGGAAGGGGAAAAGAAAAAAGCUGAAACACAAGGUUCAUCUGGGAUGAACAGGAUCACAAAAGUCCUCGGCUCUCCUCGAUGGGCAUUCUGAAGAGUCAAAAGCUGCUGAGCUAGCCACCUUCCCUCUUCCAGGUCUAUCAUUAGUGCCAGUCAUGGAAGUCAGCUUGGAUUUGGGAUGGGGAAACCAAGAAACUGAGAAUCAAAGAGGUUAAAUGACUUAAGAAAGAUUUCACCUCUAGUUAGAGGCAGAGACAAAUCUAGAAUUUUUCCUGAUUCUGAGUGCAAUGCACUUUCCUGACCUUCACUCAACCUGAGUUUGAUCUUACAGAGGAAGUCUUUGAAGACCUGCUGGGACAAUUGUUUGUUUCCCACAGAAUUCUGCGGCUAGCUCUAUUUCCUUAAUCCUGAAAUUCCAGCUCAGUACUUAUUUUCCAAACCUGUCACCAUUAACUUGAUUUUCUUCCUUUCCUCUUCCUUGCUCCCCAUCAUAUGUAAACUCUGAUUUAUAUCUGACCAGGAAACACACUCAAAAUAUAUUUCUCAAGUGUUUACCCAAUGGUGCCCCAGGCAAUACCAAUAAUGAUGAGCUAAACAAUCAUAUAUUAUUGUCUGUGAAUAUUUACUUUGUGACAGAGUCCUAAUCCUCUCCCAAAUGGUUAGCAAAUUCACUGAAAUUAUUUACUGGAAGAAUUCUAAUUUUUCAAAUAAUUCUUCUUUAUCUAAGUCCCACAAUUAUCUUCUCUUAUCCAGCUUCCCCCAAGCCCCACUUCAGACCUUACUUACUGAAUUUUUUCUAGCUCUUUAACCUCUCUGUAGUACUUCAUCCCUUAAUGCUUUUGUUCUUACUGAUUAUUUUCUCCUAAAAUAUAUCCAUCAUCCUAUUUGUUUAUACAUUUAUUAUAGAAUGCAUUUUCUAAACACUUGUGUUAGGAAUGAGGCUAGGUGCUGGUGUGGUCAUCAGCAAAGUACACAGUCCAUGAACUCAUAGCAGGUAGGAUACAGACAAAUGAAAUGGCAAUUAUAAAAGCACAUGAAAUAAGUGCAACAAUUAGAUAAGUGUAGAUACGUUGUUGGGAGAAACACCUAAGACGGCCUUUGUGGAGGGAAUCUGUUUGUGUGUGAAAUCAUGGCUUGUCCAUCAUUGUAUUGGCUGGGAUUGAUGAGCAAAUGAUAUGUAAUACACACUCAAUAAAUGUUGGUAGAACUAAUAAGAAUGAUCUGUGGUGAAAUGACUCCUGAGACAGUGACUAUGUUCUCUUUACUUCCAGGUCACUUUGCAUCGUAAACACUUAAUGUCUCUCUAGAUAGAAUUAAUCAGAGAGUGGUAGAAACUAUUAACACCUGGAUACUUCAGUUUUAUAAACUAAAAGCUUUUGAGUUAUUUUACCCAUUGAAUGAUCUUUAUUGCCUGCUCAGACUGAGUAAAUUCAAGCACCUGAAGGAUAAAUGAAAGUUUAUCCUUUAGAUAUAACAGGUUUGCAUCCUGGCUCUGCCAUUUAUGAGUAUUGACUUGAGGUUCAUUAAUUAAGCCCUCUAAGCCCUAGCUGUUAAACGGGCAUAAUCAGGAUACGUUGAAGGAAUUAAAAGUAAUAACAUGCAAAGGAACUGAAACAGUGACUGCUACACAGUAAACACUCAAUAAAUGUUAAUCCUCUUUGCAUCCUCCUCUAAACCUUUGAUAAUAUAUAUUUAGCAUAAUAUUUUGGAAUAUCUGAAAGUAAAUGAAAUUAUGCACAAGUAAUUGAAUUUCUAUUCAUAUUUUUGCAUAGUAGUUACUAUCUGGAUACUAGGCUGAAAAGAAUAAAAAAUUGGAACUCUUUAAGUAAAUGCGCUUUUCUGUCUCUUAUAUACAUCCAGUUGGCUAUUGAAACAACAUGGGAGAAAGGCAGGCAGAAGCAAGAUACCCCAUCCACUUACCUUAUUUUUUCUCUACAUGAAAUAAAUGAUUUAUAUUGAGUUUCUGGAUUUUUAAAGUUACCUUUUUUUGUUUUUUUCCUGGAGUCUCACUCUGUUGCCC
rnacentral:lncRNA from 1 species